rnacentral:lncRNA from 1 species
AUAACCUGUGCCUGAAGCUAGUGCCACCUCUUGGACGUUUCUGUGAUAUUAGCUGCUACAGAGCAGCAUCUGAAGAGCCACGGGGCCCCCACCUUCAUCCCUGAGAAUUUUAGGAGCCAGCCUGCCUUUCCAGGUGACACUGGACACUUUCAUCUGAGAACCCUGUCACAUGACAGUUGUUUCCUUUCUUCCUCCUCUCCUGGGAAUGCUGCUGCUUCGAUGACCCAAGAGCCUAAGAAGGGUAGCUGUUUCUCAAUACACUGAGAGAGAGUUCUUUCUCCGUCCUGACCAUCUUGGGACCCGAUGGCAAGACUGGAAGGAUUUAUAUCUCCUUUUGUACAGAAAACUGCCUCCCCAUGUUGGUUUGUGAAGUGAAAUGCAUAUAAAACAGAGGAUUCCAGACUCUCAGAAGUCAAUACAUAAAUAAAUAAAAAUAAAACUGAGAAGAUA